rnacentral:misc_RNA from 1 species
GAUGAAGAACGUAGCGAAAUGCGAUAAGUAAUGUGAAUUGCAGAAUUCAGUGAAUCAUCGAAUCUUUGAACGCACAUUGCGCCCGCCAGCAUUCUGGCGGGCAUGCCUGUUCGAGCGUCAUUUCAACCCUCGAGCCCCCCCGGGGGCCUCGGUGUUGGGGGACGGCACACCAGCCGCCCCCGAAAUGCAGUGGCGACCUCGCCGCAGCCUCCCCUGCGUAGUAGCACACACCUCGCACCGGAGCGCGGAGACGGUCACGCCGUGAAACGCCCAACUUCUUAGAGUUGACCUCGGAUCAGGUAGGAAUACCCGCUGAACUUAAGCAUAUCAAUAAGCGGAGGA